rnacentral:tRNA from 1 species
AGUCUUUUAGUUUAAUUAAAACAUUAAAUUGCAAAUUUAAAAAUGAUUUAUUUCUAAGACUU